GGGGCUGUGGCUCAAUGGUAAAGUGCUCGCUGGGCAUGCGUGAGGCACUGGGUUUGAUUCUCAGCACCACA
rnacentral:tRNA from 1 species